GACUACUGGGGUAUCUAAGCCUGUUUGCUCCCCACGCUUUCGUGCCUCAGUGUCAGUGUUGGCCCAGAUAGUCGCCUUCGCCACAGAUGUUCCUUCCGAUCUCUACGCAUUUCACUGCUACACCGGAAAUUCCACUAUCCUCUACCACACUCUAGUUGCCCAGUAUCCAUCGCAAUUCCCAGGUUGAGCCCAGGGCUUUCACGACAGACUUAAACAACCACCUACGCACGCUUUACGCCCAGUAAUUCCGAGUAACGCUUGCACCCUUCGUAUUACCGCGGCUGCUGGCACGAAGUUAGCCGGUGCUUAUUCUUUGGGUACCGUCAUCCCUACUGGUUAUUAACCGGCAGGAUUUCUUUCCCAACAAAAGGGCUUUACAACCCGAAGGCCUUCUUCACCCACGCGGCAUGGCUGGAUCAGGCUUGCGCCCAUUGUCCAAUAUUCCCCACUGCAGCCACCCGUAGG
rnacentral:rRNA from 1 species